GGCCAGACUCCUACGGGAGGCAGCAGUGGGGAAUAUUGGGCAAUGGGCGCAAGCCUGACCCAGCGACGCCGCGUGAGGGAAGACGGUCUUCGGAUUGUAAACCUCUUUCAGCAGGGAAGACAAAAGGACGGUACCUGCAGAAGAAGCCACGGCUAACUACGUGCCAGCAGCCGCGGUAAUACGUAGGUGGCAAGCGUUAUCCGGAAUUACUGGGUGUAAAGGGUGUGUAGGCGGGGCUGCAAGUCAGAUGUGAAAAUUAUGGGCUCAACCCAUAACCUGCGUCUGAAACUGUAGCUCUUGAGAGUGGGAGAGGUAAACGGAAUUCCCGGUGUAGCGGUGAAAUGCAUAGAUAUCACGCAGAACUCCGAUUGCGAAGGCAGCAUACCGGCGCGCAACUGACGCUCAUGCACGAAAGCGUGGGUAUCGAACAGGAUUAGAUACCCUCGUAAU
rnacentral:rRNA from 1 species